GUGGGGAAUUUUGGACAAUGGGCGCAAGCCUGAUCCAGCAAUGCCGCGUGCAGGAAGAAGGCCUUCGGGUUGUAAAGCACUUUUGGCAGGGAAGAAACAGUGCGUGCUAAUACCAUGCGCGAAUGACGGUACCUGCAGAAUAAGCACCGGCUAACUACGUGCCAGCAGCCGCGGUAAUACGUAGGGUGCAAGCGUUAAUCGGAAUUACUGGGCGUAAAGCGUGCGCAGGUGGUUUUGUAAGACAGGCGUGAAAUCCCCGGGCUCAACCUGGGAAUGGCUCUUGGGACUGCAAAGCUGGAGUGCGGCAGAGGGGGAUGGAAUUCCGCGUGUAGCAGUGAAAUGCGUAGAUAUAGGAAGGAACACCAGUGGCGAAGGCGACUACCUGGACUGAUACUGACACUGAGGUGCGAAAGCGUGGGGAGCAAACAGGAUUAGAAACCCCGGUAGUCC
rnacentral:rRNA from 1 species